rnacentral:rRNA from 1 species
UACGUAGGGUGCAAGCGUUAAUCGGAAUUACUGGGCGUAAAGCGUGCGCAGGCGGUUUUGUAAGUUUGUCGUGAAAUCCCCGGGCUCAACCUGGGAAUGGCGAUGAAGACUGCAAGGCUAGAAUCUGGCAGAGGGGGGUAGAAUUCCACGUGUGAGCAGUGAAAUGCGUAGAGAUGUGGAGGAACACCGAUGGCGAAGGCAGCCCCCUGGGUCAAGAUUGACGCUCAUGCACGAAAGCGUGGGGAGCAAACAGG